rnacentral:rRNA from 1 species
UGGUGGAGUGAUUUGUCUGGUUGAUUCCGUUAACGAACGAGACCUCGACCUGCUAAAUAGUUCGGCGAAUCCUUCGGGAUUCGUACGCGACUUCUUAGAGGGACUAUCGGUUUGUAGCCGAUGGAAGUUCGAGGCAAUAACA